rnacentral:RNase_P_RNA from 1 species
UAUUUUGGGUAAUCGCUAUAGAAAUAUAGAGGAAAGUCCAUGCUCACACAAUCUGAGAUGAUUGUAGUGUUCGUGCUUGAUGAAACAAUAAGUCAAGGCAUUAAUUUGACGGCAAUGAAAUAACCUAAGUCAUUAAUUGAUACGGUUAAAAUAGUUUGAAAGUGCCACAGUGACGUAGCUUUUAUAGAAAUAUAAAAGGUGGAACGCGGUAAACCCCUCGAGUGAGCAAUCCAAAUUUGGUAGGAGCACUUGUUUAGCGGAAUUCAACGUAUAAACGAGACAUCUUUACUCGCAUAGUAAAGAUU